rnacentral:rRNA from 1 species
GAUGAACGCUAGCUACAGGCUUAACACAUGCAAGUCGAGGGGAAACGACAUCGAAAGCUUGCUUUGGUGGGCGUCGACCGGCGCACGGGUGAGUAACGCGUAUCCAACCUUCCCAUAGUCAGGAAUAGCCCGGCGAAAGUCGAAUUAAUGCCUGAUGUUUUCCACGGACGGCAUCUGAUGUGGAACAAAGAUUCAUCGCUAUGGGAUGGGGAUGCGUCUGAUUAGCUUGUUGGCGGGGUAACGGCCCACCAAGGCAACGAUCAGUAGGGGUUCUGAGAGGAAGGUCCCCCACAUUGGAACUGAGACACGGUCCAAACUCCUACGGGAGGCAGCAGUGAGGAAUAUUGGUCAAUGGGCGGAAGCCUGAACCAGCCAAGUAGCGUGAGGGAUGACUGCCCUAUGGGUUGUAAACCUCUUUUAUAAGGGAAUAAAAUACGGGACGUGUCCUGUUUUGCAUGUACCUUAUGAAUAAGGACCGGCUAAUUCCGUG